GAUUAGUACCUCCCUGCAGCUUCAGGGAAGACUCUCCUUAGCAGCUUGAGCUGUAAUAAAUGUGAGUACCUUUCAUGCAUUACUAUUAGUGGAAUUACACAUUUCUAAUUUCAUUAUUAUUUAAAACCAACUUCCUCACUGUGCACGCAACUGUGGUGAAGGAAACCUCCAUCUUUUGUUUUCCAGUGAUAUUUCAAGUAAAUGGAGGAUACAUCAGUGUCACUGGCCAAAGGUAUCGAUGAGUCUUCCAACAAACUAAGCUAAAUGUUGGAUUGGUUAUGCUUUGCCAGUCUUUCUUGCACUUUAACCUUCUUUAAAGAACUUUUCCUCAUUUGAUUUCUAAACUUCUCCUUAGAUUGCCGUAACAAAAUUAAAACUUAGUGUGAAGACACUGAAAACUCUUAGCAGGAAAAAACAAAAACCAAAAAAACCAAAUCUGAAAGGAAUUAAAACAACAGGAGAAUGAAAUGUUACUUACAACAUAGCCACGUUCAGGUAAAAGGCCAGUAUGGAGGAACUCAGCCCGUGCCAAAGCCCCAGAGCAAAACUUGUGCUGCUUUUCCCCUCCACUUUUAGCCCCAUAGGAGCCUGUCAGCCCCUGCAGGACCCAUGAAGGCAGUCAUGAAAAAGGCUGUCUCUUUCGAUCUAUAUUUAGCGUUAAUCUCAGCCAAGCACACUGACUUCACCGUAUUGAACUGUUUAAAAGGAAACCAGCAUAUGCACAGCUCUUCAUUAUAUUGGAAUUAUCAAAUAUCCUAUAAUGGAAAAAAUAAUGUGUUAUUUGAAGAUCAAUAUUUCACUAAACCUUUGCUUUAUGAUUCCUUUUUAAAACUAGUUUGCUAUGCAAAAACGUCAUAGCAAUAUUACUGUAGUUAUGAGUAAUGGGUUUGCUAUGCAGACGUCAUUUCUACGGUACUGCAGUUGUAUGUACUUUAAAGGCAUCGACUGGAAAAAGUUACUUUCCUCCCCCAACACCUUACAAAUCCAAGUGCAUUACCACCUGGGCCGAUUUGUACAGCAUCCAGAAAAUAAACUCUGAGCUGACUGUGAGUACUGAUAGCUGUUCCUUCGUGGAAAGAUCUUUUGACUGCUGAUUUUUCUGUUGCAGAACAUAAUGUUUCAGCACAGCACUGCAUUGACAGGCAGCUGAUGCUAACAGGGAGCAUGGGUCCAAACAACAAACCCUUUCUCAAGCAAUUCUCUACUUACUUCCACAAUAUUGAUCUACUUUAAACUGACCAUGGAUAUACUUGCCUUUCAGGAAAGAUUACAAGACUCCUGAAAGAUUCCUGACACCAUCCUAACUAUAAGACAAAGACCCAACCCUCUCCUGUUCUAAGCUUGAAAAAGUCUGAAACAUCACCAGGCAGCAGAACAGCCCCUCUCCUCCCCUCUAACAGCCUUGGACGCCAUCCCAGUCUCCGCAGCUGGCACCUACAGCAUUCUGGGGGAAAGGGGAACCACGUGCCCGGCCAUCUGCACGGAGGCGCUGGAGAAGAUACUUUGCAAACCUCCGGAAGCACAGGAAGCUCUCAGAAGUGCCACUCUGUGCUGCUGAAGUACACCACCAGUGACCACCCACAGACAGAGACCAGCAGGAUUGUAGGAACAAACGAGCUCAAGGGAAGAAGCACAGCCUUAGGCCAGGCAAAUACAGUCAGCUUGAUCUAGUUCAGAGACCAGGCUGAAACAAGCACAUGUAUUUGCAGAUCGUCUGAUGCAGAAGCUCUGGUUGAGGUUUAAGGUCUUCACAUAAACUCUGUCUCCCCCCAAUCCUGUUAUUGGCACGUUUCAGUCCUCUGGAGAGGGAAACUGGAUGUAGGGGGUAGCUUUCAAUAGGGAACAGGGCUUUCGGAAUGACUCCUGUCAGGCAGGAGAUAUUUUGUAGCAUCAAUACUAAGGAAUGUUUGACAUUUAGUCUGCAGAUUGCUGACCGUUACUAAACUGAUGAGAAACCUAUGCAGAUUCUAUACAAGAUACAGCUUCCAAACAAAGCAGUUUCAGAUAUCAGAGUUAAAUCUAACAUGGCCACAUUUUGUAACAGGCAAGCAACAGUAGUUGUGUGUAAAAUAAACCCCUCUCUUUCAACACUUAGGCUGUGCUAGCACUGCAACUUUUCAUCAGAGUAGUAAUCACAUUAAGACACAGAAUACAGUGAGAAACGUCUUUAUUCCAAAAAUUAAACACCUGAUUUCAAAACAUAUGAAUCUUUAUUUUACAUUGAGGCAAGUACCUUAUUUACUACUUCCUUGUGAGUGAAGGUGAGUCAGCUCCAUAGUCCCCUUCACGUAAAUUCAUACUAUAGAGGAAUUUCUUUGUUCAUCUGUCACUUAAGAGUUUUAAAAGGUACUAAAAUCAUUUCACAUGAACAAGUUCAUCCUUCCAUAUUAACACAAUCUUA